UGCCUUUGAGAGCUCUUGCUGGGCUUCUA
rnacentral:sRNA from 1 species